rnacentral:rRNA from 1 species
CCUACGGGAGGCAGCAGUGAGGAAUAUUGGUCAAUGGGCGCUAGCCUGAACCAGCCAAGUAGCGUGAAGGAUGACUGCCCUAUGGGUUGUAAACUUCUUUUAUAUGGGAAUAAAGUGCAGUAUGUAUACUGCUUUGCAUGUACCUUAUGAAUAAGGAUCGGCUAACUCCGUGCCAGCAGCCGCGGUAAUACGGAGGAUCCGAGCGUUAUCCGGAUUUAUUGGGUUUAAAGGGAGCGUAGGCGGGUUGUUAAGUCAGUUGUGAAAGUUUGCGGCUCAACCGUAAAAUUGCAGUUGAUACUGGCAUCCUUGAGUACAGUAGAGGUAGGCAGAAUUCGUGGUGUAGCGGUGAAAUGCUUAGAUAUCACGAAGAACACCGAUGGCGAAGGCAGCCUGCUGGACUGUAACUGACGCUGAUGCUCGAAAGUGUGGGUAGCAAACAGGAUUAGAUACCCGAGUAGUC